GCCGACGGGUGGGGUGGGAUGGGAUGGCGGCAGUGCCGGUCGCUCUACCGCUGCGGGCAGAAGGGCUGCGGCCCGGCGCUGGGCCGCUGUCACGGCUCUGUCACGUUGUGGUGUGCCCAGGGGGGAGCGGGGAAAAGGGCUCUGCCCGCUCCCCAGGCGGGCGGGAGGGUCGAGGGUAGGAUGGAGGCGAGCUGGGACCGGCUCGGCCACGCUGAUGUAAAAUGGCUGCCCUGAGGGCACAGGGAGCUGAAUUCAGGCCUAGGUCCACUGCUCGGCCAUGCGAGCAUCCUGCUUACGUAUCCCCUUCAGCAGAGCAUUAAAGUUAAGGUUAGGGCUGUUGAGUAUUGGUUGUUUUUUUUUCCCCUAACGCUGUGCUGUCCCAUUUCUGAUUGCUGUGUUGUGGUUCUUGGGGGGGCUCUUGCAUCAGACUGAUCUCAUGGUCUGCUCUGGAAGGACACUCAAAUUUACUUCGCAAGGCAGAGCACGAUGACUUUGGGCAGAACAAACCUUAAGAAUGUACUUGACUUAAUUUUCUGUCUUCGUAAGUUAAUAAGAGGAACAAAAAAGCAUUUGAGGCUGAGGCAAAGUCACAUCUCAAGUGGACGUGUUUAUGAAAACAUCGUCUCCUGAGGGCUAUGUGCUCCUGCAGAAGCGCAUGCUUUAUGGUGCGUCUUCAGAGGUUUAAUGUAGAGUUACAUGAGAAAUGUGUACAAAAGAGGGCAGAAAAGGAUUUCCUGGGGAAGAAGCAAGAAAGUGGCGUACAACCAUGUUCAGAAAUUAUAAUUUAAAUAAAGUCAGUUUGAAACACCAGUGUAGUCGUCUAGUUUGUCACAAAACCCUAGAAGAUGUGUUAAGGCAGUAAAUGUAACUUCAGAUGAACAAAGCGCUUUAGUGUGCCCCAAACCCUUGGAGCACAGCAGCUCUGCCCUGGCGCGUCCUGCCUCAUCCUAACCCAACGCGACUCGUGCCUCGCUGCUUGGAGUUCAGGUCGCAAAUUGCUUUUGAAGUGGGAUUUUUUUCGUAUGAUCCACAAGAUAGAACAGAUGUGGGAGGGAUACUUCUAAAAAUGUUGGAAAUAGUUGUACUUUUGCAAUCUGAAUCUCUCUCAUUUAUCCCUUGUUAUCUUUUGUAUCAGCACAAGCGAGUCCAAGUGGUGCCAGAAAGGUUAAGUCACUGUAACCACCAUGAUGGGGUUAAAGUAUCUAAGUGUGUAGAAAACCCUUUAGGCUCCUGAGUUAAUUAAGGGAUUUUGAAAAAUGUGUCAUGCCUCUAGUAGAGUCUGUCAUGCAUACUUCAUUUUUCAUGUGUUAAUUAAAAAUGCAUAUUCCUCUAGAAAAACAGCAAUCCCGGUGACUUACAGUUAGAAAAAUAUUUUCAGUAUAACAUCAUAACAUGUCUGACUGUUACAAAUGCCUUUCAUUUUUCUCUCAUGUAGGUUAAAGUACAGUACCGUGCUCUGCUCCAGUGAUUUUUAACAUUGGUAAUAUCUAUGUUAGAUUGCUAGUGGUUUAAGUAAAGACUGCUAUUAAUCACUGAAAGAUGUUAUGAGAAAGCCAAUCUUCAGAAGUGGUGGUUUGCAAAGUAUAAACUACUGAGUAUCUAGGGAUUUUCUACAUCUUUAAGAGAGUAUGAUGGUUUCACAAGUCUGUCUGUAGCGGAACACAAACUGGCGAGACGGCGACUGCAGUGCGUGCCCCUGUGGUUCCAGCGUUGAUCUACAUGACUUCAGUGCAUGCUUUGGGACCUCUUCCCAUGGUGUUAAAAUCCACUCUCGCUUUUUGCAGAGAACCAUCCCGAUGCCGCAGAACAGCUACACCAUUACAGCUGUUAAGCACAAUGUGCUCAGCAGAGCCGUGAUCGUACGGUGCCCCUGGAGCAGACUGCUGAGGUCUUCACGGGACCCUCCGGCGCAGCCUGGACCUGUUCCUGCAGCCGCAGCAGCGCAGGACCACGAGCCACCUCAUCACCCUGGGCUGGUCUCCAGCAACCUGCCGGGCUGGCUGAAGGGCCACAAGGAAGCAGAAUCUAGUUAAAUAGUAUGUGGUUAUUUGUCUUGCUGGUAGCAAUUAAAUGUUAAUUUAAAAAAAAAAUUAAAAAAAUCAGGGGUUUUGA